rnacentral:rRNA from 1 species
UUAUAUUCCUAAUUUUCUAUUGAAAAUAGGAGUCCCAGCCCAAUCUCAUCUGAUCUUAGAAGCUAAGCAAGGUCGGGCCUGAUUAGUACUUGAAUAGGAGACCACCUAGGAAUACCAGGUGCUGUAGGUG